AAUGAUCUCCAAUCAAAUUGACAGACCAUCAAAAGGUAGAUCUACGAUACUAAAAUCAAAAUAAGUUAUGAACAGAACAGGAAACAGAAUUUCGACUCAAACCUGCCCCAACAUGAUAAAAUGGAUACAGGGUAUUUACAUCCGAAAUUGCUCGUACAACAUUCAUCGGUUGAUGGCCAACACAUCACCUAAUCAUGUACAACUUCCGUAACAGGACUUGUUCAUCUCAACUAGAAACCGGUGUCCAAUCCUCUGAAAUGGCAGGGUUACAACCAGCAUCUCGCAAGGAUGCAAAUAUACCAUAAAAAGGAUUAGACCUCCGUACAACAACAAUACUAGGCAUAAUACCUGAUCAUUCAAGCAAGCCACACAACUUGCCUUCGUCAAGAUUAGCUGCACACUAAAAUCACUCAAACUUCGCACACAUUCUCAUAUUUACAGAACUUAUUGUCCAAUCCUCCCUCUAACCUCAAUAUUCUAUCCUCACAGGCUGAAAUACGAAAUUCCUAGCCUUGGGGGAGCAUAGCAAGGUUGCCAACGACACAAAAAAGCUAGUCAUCGUGCUGAUAGAGAACGCCCCAAGGGACACCCAUCCAUUCUCUCCAUGCCAGUCACUGAGCCAGCCAUGACGAUUAUUUCCUGAAAUUUUCCCUUCUGGCAUUGUUGCAUCCAUAGUGCACCCUUCCCCACCGCAUAUCCCAGGGUUUCCUGCCAACGCUCCUGGGAAUUUCCGCAACCCAUCGGUUGUUGGCAAAGGCCCAGAUAGGCUAUUGUAAGAGAGGUUAAGCGCCUCGAGCUCUGUCAUGGCAGCAAUUACAGGAGGCACCUCCCCUGACAGCCCAUUAUGUGAGAAGUCCAGCGUCCGCAGCCUCCCCAUCCCCCCAAGCCCUGCAGGGAUCUGCCCAGCUAAGUAAUUGCAAGAGAGGUUCAGGUACUCCAAUCCCUUCAUUGCAACCAACCCUUCAGGUAUCUCUCCAUGGAGCAAAUUCGUUGAUAGAUCUAUACCAGGAGCUGCCCGAAGAUCAUAACCAAGCUCAAGCUGCUGACCUGUGGAAUCAACAGAUGCUGACACAAACAAUUGAGGUGAAAUCAUACCACCGGAUGGAAUACCCUGACCACCACCUGCGCCAUUAAGCACUGAACUUGCAUUGAAACCACCAUCAGGGAUGAAACCCUCAAAUCUAUUUCCAGACAAAUCAAGCCACUGGAGAACCGGGAAUGAGAACAUCCAAUCUGGUAGCUGGCCGGAGAGCUGAUUAUCAGCCAGCGAUAGGGACCUCAGGCUCUGCCAUUUCGCCACAGCCCCACUGAGCUCCCCAGUGAUCUCAUUUCCCAACAAGAUCACCACCUCAAGAGACCGGCACCCAGCCAGCGGCAGCGGAAUCUCACCAGAUAUCCGGUUGUUCGACAAAUCUAGAACCUUCAGACUAUCAAGUGCAUCAAGCUCCGGCCGCAGCGCCCCAGAGAGCUGAUUCCCCCCGAGACGCAGGUACAGAAGCUGGAAGCAGCCGGCAAGCCCCGCAGGCACUAGACCGGACAGCCGGUUAUGUGACAAAUCCAGCGCCUGCAAGUAGGUCAGGUUCCCAAUCCCAGCUGGGAUCUCCCCGGACAGCUGAUUGUCCGCAAGGAACAGGCCCUGCAGGCUCCGUAUCGCGGUUAUCCCCGCAGGGAUCUCGCCGGAGAAGCGGUUGUGGGAGAGGUCGAGGAGGAGGAGGCUGGAUGCGUCGGGGUCGGCGACGAUACGCGGCGGGACGGCGCCACAGAGGGCGUUGCUGGAGAAAUCGAGGGCAACGAGGCGCGAGGAGAAGGAGAACCACGGGGAAAGUGGGAACCCGAGAGAGUUGGACGAGAGAUUGAGGGUGCGGAGGGCCGGGAGCGAGGCAGGGAAGCAGGUGGGGAUGGCACCCGAGAGCGCGUUGCGGGAGAGGUCGAGGUUGACAAGCGAGCGCGGUAGGGAGCAGGGGAGCUCGCCGGAGAGCGCGUUGGCGGAGAGGUCGAGCUCUCGGAGGCGGCGUAGGAGCGCGAGCGAAGGGGCCGGGAGCGGCCCGGAGAGGUUGAGGCCCUGGAGCGCGAGCGCCGCGACGGAGGGCGGAGCGGCCACGGCGGCGGCGGCGGGUGGGUGGAGCGAGACCCCGAGCCAGGACGCGGAGAGCGGACCGUGCCAGGAGGAGAGCGCCGCGUGGGAGGGCGGGGAGAGGGACGCGCGGAAGGCGAGUAGCGCGGCGCGGUCGGUGGAGGCGGGGGCCACGCGGCGCGGCCCGGCGGCGAGGAGCAGAAGCAAGAGGGCGAGGACGAGAGGGGUGGCCGGCAUGGUGGUUCGGUUGGUGGUGGCUAGGGUUUUGCGGGGUUUGAGCGCGGCCGGCGUGGGAGGUGGUGGGGGAACCGGAUCCUCUGCCGUGGCGCUGGGCACGGCACACGUACCGUGCCUUCUUACGACGACCCCAGCGAACGCAUUGACAUGGGCCAAGAAAGCCCAUCUACUCAGCCGUUGCCUAAUGCAAUCAGUCGUUCACAGCUGCCGCAAAACUAAAAAAAAAAAAACUGCCGCAAAACUGAAGAGAAAAGCUGCUGCAAAACUGAAGAAUCACACUCUUCUGAACUGAACCUGCUACGAAACUGAAGAAUCAACCUCUGCAGGUUACAACCAAG
rnacentral:lncRNA from 1 species